UCUGAAGGUAGGACACUGAUCAUGUCUUGAUUUCCAGAUAAUCAAUCUGGGAAAGAGUUUGAAAGACUUUGGCACCGCCACGCUCGACAUCGACUGGCCAAAAGAGACAGCGGAUGGGAAGUGGCUGCUCUACCUGACGAAGAUCAGCUCCACUGGGUGGUCCAGGAGGAGUGCUCUCCUAAGGGGGAUCACCCUCUCAACAAGGAAAUAAGCAACACCAGGAGGAGAAGAGCAGCAGAAAAGCUCCAGGGACUUGACCAGGGGACUUUGUCACGUUUACUGGACCAGAAGAAAUCUGAAACUCUGUCCUGUGACAGCGGGGCCAGAUGUGUUACUAUAAAGUGCCCCCUGCGGGGCCUGGACAGUAAUGCAGUC